rnacentral:lncRNA from 1 species
ACACUCCUUCCAAAUGGCCAUCCCAGCAUGCUUCCAAGCAGGCUUCAUCCGUUCCUCUGGACCCUCAUCUCUUAAGACCUGCCGCCUAUAAAAAGGAUUAUAUCUUGAGACCCUAUCCUCUAAAAUUUUUUCCACACCCAAAACAAAAAAUCUCUGGGUCAAAAGUCUAAAACGCUUAGGCUGGCAACCAUCAGAUCCUUGCCCAUGGUGUCCUCAAGCCUACUCUCAUGAAAUGGACAACAGUACACGCAUAUGGGGCCAGUUCCACAUAUUUGGCAACCAGACCAGCAUCCAGGACAACACAAAGAUCUGCAAUCAGAACUAUUGAACUUCUCCAUUCAGACCGCCACUCACACCUAUGGGAAAAGGGUGGCCUGCAGGAGCCAAGAAGUCUGGAGCAGCCGAAAAACCACAAAGAAGUGAAACAGCCAGUUC